rnacentral:SRP_RNA from 2 species
GCUGGGCGCGGUGGCUCACGCCUGUAAUCCCAGCACUUUGGGAGGCUGAGAUGGGCGGAUCACCUGAGGUCAGGAGUUCAAGACCAGCCUGACCAACAUGGUGAAACCCCGUCUCUA